rnacentral:rRNA from 1 species
GAUGAACGCUGGCGGCGUGCCUAGUACAUGCAAGUCGAGCGAACAGACGAGGAGCUUGCUCCUCUGACGUUAGCGGCGGACGGGUGAGUAACACGUGGAUAACCUACCUAUAAGACUGGGAUAACUUCGGGAAACCGGAGCUAAAACCGGAUAAUAUAUUGAACCGCAUGGUUCAAUAGUGAAAGACGGUUUUGCUGUCACUUAUAGAUGGAUCCGCGCCGCAUUAGCUAGUUGGUAAGGUAACGGCUUACCAAGGCAACGAUGCGUAGCCGACCUGAGAGGGUGAUCGGCCACACUGGAACUGAGACACGGUCCAGACUCCUACGGGAGGCAGCAGUAGGGAAUCUUCCGCAAUGGGCGAAAGCCUGACGGAGCAACGCCGCGUGAGUGAUGAAGGUCUUCGGAUCGUAAAACUCUGUUAUUAGGGAAGAACAAAUGUGUAAGUAACUAUGCACGUCUUGACGGUACCUAAUCAGAAAGCCACGGCUAACUACGUG